rnacentral:rRNA from 1 species
AUUGAACGCUGGCGGCAGGCCUAACACAUGCAAGUCGAGCGGAGCGGCGGACGGGGGAGUAAUAGUUAGGAAUCGGCCUGGUAGUGGGGGAUAACGACCAGACACGGGCGCUAAUACUGAAUACUAUUCGAUGAGCCUAGGGCGGAUUAGCUAGUGGUGUGGGUAAAGGUCUACCAAGGCGAAGAUCCGUAACUGGGCUGAGAGGAUGAUCAUUCACACUGGAACUGAGAAACGGUCCAGACUCCUACGGGAGGCAGCAGUGGGGAAUAUUGCACAAUGGGCGAAAGCCUGAUCCAGCCAUGCCGCGUGUGUGAAGAAGGUCUUCGGAGUGUAAAGCACUUUAAGUUGGGAGGCGUUACCAACAGAAUAAGCACCGGCUAACUUCGUGCCAGCCGCCGCGGUAAUAC